UACAGAGGUCCCAAGCGUUGUUCGGAUUCAUUGGGCGUAAAGGGUACGUAGGCGGCGCGGUAAGUCGGGUGUGAAAUCUCGGGGCUUAACUCCGAAACUGCAUUCGAUACUGCCGUGCUUGAGGACUGGAGAGGAGACUGGAAUUUACGGUGUAGCGGUGAAAUGCGUAGAUAUCGUAAGGAAGACCAGUGGCGAAGGCGGGUCUCUGGACAGUUCCUGACGCUGAGGCACGAAAGCGUGGGGAGCAAACAGG
rnacentral:rRNA from 1 species